rnacentral:rRNA from 1 species
CCUACGGGCGGCAGCAGUGGGGAAUAUUGGUCAAUGGCCGGAAGGCUGAACCAGCCAAGCCGCGUGAAGGACGAAGGUGCCAAGCAUUGUAAGCUUCUUUUGUCAAGGGACAAAAUCAGGCUCGAGAGCCUGAGCGAGGGUACUUUAAGAGAAAGCAUCGGCUAACUCCGUGCCAGAAGCCGCGGUAAUACGGAGGGUGCGAGCGGUAUCCGGAUUUAUUGUGGUAAGGGGGUGCCGAGGCGGGCUGUUAAGUCAGCGGUAAAAGCCCGGGGCUCAACCCCGGCGAGCCGUUGAAACUGGCGGUCUUGAGAUGUCGAGAGGUAUGUGGAAUGCGAAGUGUAGCGGUGAAAUGCGUAGAUAUUGCGCAGAAUUCCGAUGGCGAAGGCAGCAUACCGGCGGAGAGCUGACGCUGAGGCACGAAAGCGUGGGUAUCGAACAGGAUUAGAUACCCGGGUAGUC